rnacentral:tRNA from 1 species
AUUUAUAUAGCUUAUGUAGUAGUUUAAUAUUGAAGAUAUUAAGGAAGAAUAAAUAAUUUCUUAUAAAUA